GAGGGUAUAGCUCAAGUGGUAGAGCACUUGCUUAGCAUGCAUGAGGUCCUGGCUUCAGUCCCCAGUACCUCCU
rnacentral:tRNA from 1 species